rnacentral:rRNA from 1 species
AGUGAACGCUGGCGGUAGGCCUAACACAUGCAAGUCGAACGGCAGCACAGUAAGAGCUUGCUCUUACGGGUGGCGAGUGGCGGACGGGUGAGGAAUACAUCGGAAUCUACUUUUUCGUGGGGGAUAACGUAGGGAAACUUACGCUAAUACCGCAUACGACCUACGGGUGAAAGCAGGGGGUCUUCGGACCUUGCGCGAUUGAAUGAGCCGAUGUCGGAUUAGCUAGUUGGCGGGGUAAAGGCCCACCAAGGCGACGAUCCGUAGCUGGUCUGAGAGGAUGAUCAGCCACACUGGAACUGAGACACGGUCCAGACUCCUACGGGAGGCAGCAGUGGGGAAUAUUGGACAAUGGGCGCAAGCCUAAUCCAGCCAUACCGCGUGGGUGAAGAAGGCCUUCGGGUUGUAAAGCCCUUUUGUUGGGAAAGAAAAGCAGCAGGUUAAUACCCCGCUGUUCUGACGGUACCCAAAGAAUAAGCACCGGCUAACUUCGUG